rnacentral:rRNA from 1 species
AGUGAACGCUGGCGGUAGGCCUAACACGUGCAAGUCGAACGGCAGCACAGUAAGAGCUUGCUCUUACGGGUGGCGAGUGGCGGACGGGUGAGGAAUACAUCGGAAUCUACUUUUUCGUGGGGGAUAACGUAGGGAAACUUACGCUAAUACCGCAUACGACCUACGGGUGAAAGCAGGGGAUCUUCGGACCUUGCGCGAUUGAAUGAGCCGAUGUCGGAUUAGCUAGUUGGCGGGGUAAAGGCCCACAAAGGCGACGAUCCGUAGCUGGUCUGAGAGGAUGAUCAGCCACACUGGAACUGAGACACGGUCCAGACUCCUACGGGAGGCAGCAGUGGGGAAUAUUGGACAAUGGGCGCAAGCCUGAUCCAGCCAUACCGCGUGGGUGAAGAAGGCCUUCGGGUUGUAAAGCCCUUUUGUUGGGAAAGAAAAGCAGCAGGUUAAUACCCCGCUGUUCUGACGGUACCCAAAGAAUAAGCACCGGCUAACUUCGUG